rnacentral:rRNA from 1 species
CAAUAGCGUAUAUUAAAGUUGUUGCAGUUAAAAAGCUCGUAGUUGGAUUUCGGGGUGGCCUGGCUGGUCCGCCGCAAGGUGAGUACUGGUCAGCCGCCCUUCCUCUCGAAAGCCCCGACUGCUCUUUACUGCAGUGGUCGGGUAGUUCGGGACGUUUACUUUGAAAAAAUUAGAGUGUUCAAGGCAGGCCAUCGCCUGAAUACAUUAGCAUGGAAUAAUGGAAGAGGACCUCGGUCCUAUUUUGUUGGUUUCUAGGGCCGAAGUAAUGAUUAAGAGGGACAGUUGGGGGCAUUCGUAUUUAAUUGUCAGAGGUGAAAUUCUUGGAUUUAUGAAAGACGAACUAGUGCGAAAGCAUUUGCCAAGGAUGUUUUCAUUAA